CCUGCCUCACCCUUAGGGAGCUUCCUGGGCAUCUGGGGAGAUGUGUUACAUGCUAACAUACAGAAAGCCUUCUACUCCUGUUUAUCUUUUAAGACCCGGCUCAGUGGGUUACCUCCUCCAGGAUGUCUUCUUGGACUCACUGAUCAUCCUCAAUCAGCCUGUGGCCGCAUGUGGCGUGUAGAUUGCCAGUGCUGUUUGGGAUCUCAUAUCAAAUGCUGCUACCUAAUCCCAGGCGGCCUUCCACAAGCCCACACCUGCAGCUCAUUGAAUCCUCCUGGAGUACAAAGGGCUGAUUUACAGCACGAAGGAUCCAGGCACUGCUUGCAGCUGGGGCUCCGGCAGGAAAAGGAAGUUGUUCAUCAUCUUGUGUGCAUUUCAUUAACAAUAGUGUACCCGAUAUGUAGCUUAUAGAAUAAUUUCAAAUCACUGACAGAGAGCAUUAUGGCAUUUGGCACUACUAGGAAAAAUACUUCGGGAUGGGCAAAUUACACCUGAGCGUGAGGUUUCUAUGCGACCCUCUGGAACCGUGCACACUGAUUUAUACCAGCCUCUCUGCCUGCCUCUGCCCAGGGGGUGCCCAGGUAGAGACCUGCCUUAGGAAGAAGCCAAGAGGGUGCUGUGACACAAUGGGAGGAACACAGCACCAAGGCUGAGAUGGAGUCUCGCUCUGGAGC